rnacentral:rRNA from 1 species
CAAAUUAUCCUCAUAAGUUUGACUAGAAGAGGGACCGCUGAGAAUAGAAUUAGCCAUAAUCUAUUCAAUAAUGCGGUGAAAUAAAAUCGGAGGCCCCGACUGUUUACUAAAAACACAAAUCAGAGCGAUGAUUAAUAUCAUAGUAUUCUGGUUGAAAUUUGCCCGAUGCCAUUUCUAUAAGAUUAAGGUAAUGAAAGUUACUAUUCGAAAACGUGGUUAAUAGCGGUCUUAACUAUGAGGAUCCUAAGGUAGCAAAAUCGAUUGGCAUUUAAAUGAUGUCCGGUAUCAAUAAUGUAACGAUGGUCUCACUGUCUCUACAACUUGCUCAGUGAAAUUGAAUUGUGAGUGCAGAUGCUCACUACCUACAGGGGGACGGGAAGACCCUAUGCAGCUUCUACUG